rnacentral:rRNA from 1 species
UACAGAGGGGGCAAGCGUUGUUCGGAAUUACUGGGCUUAAAGGGCGUGUAGGCGGCCGACUAAGUCGGGUGUGAAAAACCUCGGCCUAACCGAGGAACUGCAUUCGAUACUGAUCGGCUAGAGUGCGAGAGGGGCAAGUGGAAUUCCAGGUGUAGCGGUGAAAUGCGUAGAUAUCUGGAGGAACACCGGUGGCGAAGGCGGCAUCCUGGACCGGUAUUGACGCUGAGGCGCGAAAGCCAGGGGAGCAAACGGG